rnacentral:rRNA from 1 species
CAGUCGCCACGGUAAUACGUAGGUGGCAAGCGUUGUCCGGAAUUAUUGGGCGUAAAGCGCGCGCAGGCGGUUUCUUAAGUCUGAUGUGAAAGCCCCCGGCUUAACCGGGGAGGGUCAUUGGAAACUGGGAGACUUAGAGUGCAGAAGAAGAGAGUGGAAUUCCAUGUGUAGCGGUGAAAUGCGUAGGUAUAUGGAGGAACACCAGUGGCGAAGGCGACUCUCUGGUCUGUAACUGACGCUGAGGCGCGAAAGCGUGGGGAGCAAACAGGAUUAGAGACCCCAGUAGUCCCUGUCUCUUAUA